UCCGGUUUCAGAAGGUGCGUGAAGAAUUGUGGGUAGCAUGUUCUGUAGUGUUAAAUUAUUAUUAUUUCUGUUUAAAAUUAGUUAAGUAAGAAGUUAAUGUCAGUAGCUUAUUUAUAGUUCUAUUGUAUUUGAGAACAGUUUAUUGUAAAUAUCAUUGUUUAUAACCGUUACCCUGACUGACAGUGGCUGAAAUGACUCGUGUGGGGUUUUUGUCAAAGACGUUAGGAAUCGCUGAGCACAAUUCGAAAUACGAAACACGAAACGUUUUGAAAUCAUCGGCUUGCUGGAUUGAAAUCGAAUUGGAUAGAAGAUACGCUUACGGAUCAACAUAAAAGCCUUAAAGACAGCCGUGGUGUCGCUCUUCAAUUCUUGGUUCUCCUGUGGUGCAUAAGAAACCCGCUACAUGCAGUGGAAACAACCUGGAGCUGAACACAAAGAUAAGAAAGGACAUGAUAGAGGAUUUUAGGAAGCAGGAGAUAAUCACAUUGCUGUCGUGGAGCUGGUGGACUGGCAUAAACAUCUCUCCUGACAUGGUCAGCCAACACAAACCCACUGGGUGGGGGUACAGGUCCGUUGGGCAGGCAGAGGUAUAGGACCUUUAGAUAUAGAGUAAAGGGGAUAUUCUGUAAGGCUAUCACUUUGUAGAUCCAAGACCAAGAAAACACAUUCCCCUCAGGAUCAAUAGAGCACCAGCAUGUCCUGCAGCACUGGAGUGUGUUUUAAACUAUGUGCCUUUUACUUUGCAGUACUUAAAGCUAAUUUAAUAUUUAGCAUGUAUUACCAAAAUGACCAAAAGAUAAACAGACUUUUCAGUAUAGAAUGAAUGUAAGCAAUGCAUGAUGGCUAAUGGUGUUUUAUUCGGUUGUAGUUCCAUGUAUUUCUUACAAAAAAAAAACAGUGUAAACCAUUUUUAUUGACCAGAAUGUAACUGAAAAUACAAUAGCAGCCUUGCCAUUGUCCAUCAAUACCAAAACAUGUUUUUUUUUUCGUAUAACAUUUUGGGAAAUGUAUGUUGUCAUUGUAGUCUUACAUUUUGUUGGCCAACCAAAAUGACCAAAACGUUAACCCGUAAUAAGGCUAGGGUGGAAUUGUACUAUGAGCUGGCUGAGUGUAAAUACAUGGCUCUGAGUGUAAACCUUUUCACUAGAAACCUAGUUGUGUUCAAAUUACCGUCUGUGCGAAAUAGCUAGAAAGCUUUCGUAUUUCAACUUGGCUACACUUACGGUUAUGAAAACGAUAAAUGACGUGCAAUACCUGCGUCGAUCUGUGACGAGCAGCAAAACCCCGGAAAGCUUCUAGCCUACCGGAAAGUUACUAGAAGAACAUUUUUACAUUUUUUUAAAACAUUUUAGUCAUUUAGCAGACGCUCUUAUCCAGAGCGACUUACAGUAGUGAAUGCAUACAUUUCAUACAUUUUUCCCCGUACUGAACAAGAAUUGUUACUUCAUCCGGUUAUGUGACAUUUGUUGUUUAUAGAUUUUUCUCCCACACCAGAUGUCUGGACCCUGGACAGAUAACAGGUAGGUCGUCAGUUCGUCCCUUGUUGUCAGAAAUACAGCAUACAUACAUACACAUUUGUUUUCGUGUUUGUUAAAGUGUUUGGUUUAAAAAACGCGUUAAACCAGUAAGGAAGGUUACGUAACUGCCAGGUCGCAAUUGUAAAUGAGAACUUGUUCUCAACUUGCCUACCUGGUUAAAUAAAGGUGAAAUAAAUAAAAAACUAAGGUGAAUAAAGAAAGUUGCAUACACAACAGAAUGUGUGGAUAUUUUUGUUGCAUUACUUGCAUGUUAUUCUCACUUAUUAUUUUAGCCACCUAUAAAUUAGGCUAUAUAUUCCCCUUUUUCAUUUUACAUUUUAGUCAUUUAGCAGACGCUCUUAUCCAGAGCGACUUACAGUAGACUGCAUACAUUUUUACAUACUGGCCCACCGUGGGAAUCGAACCCACAACCCUGGCGUUGCAAGCGCCAUGCUCUACCAACUGAGCUACAGUGGGACUCUUUGCAUCUUCAAAGAAAUACACAUUGCCACUCAAUCUGUAUAAAUCGUGUGACAUCUCCUUGGAAGAAGGAGAGAGGGACCCCAGGAGGGACGUGAAGGAGUUGAUGAAAUCCUGUUAAGACAAACAAUCAGAUGGUAUGGCCUCUGAGGACCCCCAAGACCAACUGGAUGAGGCUAUUAAAAAGGCAGAACGCCUUGCUGAGGAGCUCAACCAAGAGAAGGACCCACAAGCCCAACUGGACGAGGCCAUUAACGAGGCAAAAAGGCUGGCUGAGGAGCUCAACCCAGAACGGGUAAUGUAACAAGUCGUACAUUACCGGUAAUGUAACCCCUAUAGCUCCCAUACGUGGACAAAUAUUCCCAACACAACCCCAGCACCACAGCGUUAUGGUUUAUCAUUGCUUUUUGUUUGUCAAAGUAGACCCCACAUGGCACAAAUGUGAAUUUAAACGUAGACUCCGUGAUAUGACCUGAACACGGGCAUCAAUGAUAUUGACCAUUGAGCAUGAGGCACAAGGGUGCACUUGUUAGCAUCCUUGUGAACUGCUACACAUGUUGGCUGUGUGAGUGAGCCAGAACGUGGGUCUACUGCAGGUGUCUUUCCUCAGCUGACAAAUCACUUCACCUUAUGUGAAAAUUAAAAUCUUGCUGGUGCUCCAUAUGUGCACAAGCAAGCCAUGCUUGAGGGAGACUAUUAUUAAUGGGCCAGCCAUGAUAAUUGAAAUGCACUUUUUAGGAAAAUAAGAAAAAGACAAACAAGCCUCCAGGGAUUAGGUUCAGAUGGAGACAAAGGGAUGAGAGAGGACAGAUUGUUCCUCAAACCAGGAAGGCAACUACAUCCACUUCCCUUGCUCCAAGGGCCAGUACAUCAAGAGCCAGACUAGUGCAACCUUCUGGGCCAGUCACUGAGGAGGAAGAAUCAGAGACAAGGACCAGUGGAUUGGAAUCCACUCCAGUUUUAAACAUUGAUGAAGAAAUAGAACAGCCUCAAUUCGUCAGGGCAUGGACUCUACAAGGUGUCGAAAGCGUUCCACAGGGAUGCUGGCCAGUGUUGACUCAAAUGCUUCCCACAGUUGUGUCAAGUUGGCUGGAUGUCCUUUGGGUUGUGGACCAUUCUCGAUACACACGGGUAAAUGUGGAUCGUGAAAAACCCAGCAGCGUUGCAGUUCUUGACACAAACCGUUGGACGUUGCACCUACUACCAUACCCCUUUCAAAGGCACUUAAAUAUUUUGUCUUGCGCAUUCACCCUCUGAAUGGCACACAUACACAAUCCAUGUCUCAAGGCUUAAACAUCCUCCUUUAAUCUGUCUCCUCCUCUUUAUCUACACUGAAGUGGAUUUAACAGGUGACAUCAAUAAGGGAUCAUAGCUUUCACCUGGUCAGUUUGUCAGAGAAAGAGAAUGUUUUGUACACUCAGUGUGUUUUUGCUGUUUUAAGAACAUUCAGAAUUUCUAUUCGACGAUGGGAUCAAGUUCUAUUGUUUGAUAUUCCAAUUUAGACUUUACUCAAUAUUUUGGUCUGCCCUGUAAUGUAAUUUACCGUAGAAUCAAAGCUGAGAUUUUUGGCUUGUCACACCAUAGAUUGUGCAGAGAUAUAUUUGCUGUCACCUACUUACAGCCCUAUGUUUGUUUUAAUAGAUUAAUUAUAUAAUAUUCUUAAUUUAAUCCUUUUCCCAUUUUUGUGUUUUCAAAAAAGCAAUACUUCAUCGAAAAAUUAACAUCCUCCUAGCUGACUUAGAAGACCCUGAGUGUUCAAAUCCUUCUCUGCAGGAAGCAACUCUCACAGGAUAGGUGGAGGGAGUCCAGGCCUGAGAUUGUAGAUUCUCUGCUGGCUGCAGAGCAUGCUUCUCAGAAGAUCUGUCAGUCAUGCAAUGUGAAAAUGGCUAUUCUGCGAUGUAGAGACUGUCUGCCGAAACAGCUUUACUGCGAAGACUGCGAUGUCUCUACACAUGCAAAGUUCCCCCUGCACAACAGACAGUCCAUGAUCGAGGGAUUCUACAUGCCCCUUCCUCCAACUACAGCCAUAUCUCUCCACAGUGAUGGAGCCCCUUCCUCCAACUACAGCCAUAUCUCUCCACAGUGAUGGAGCCCCUUCCUCCAACUACAGCCAUAUCUCUCCACAGUGAUGGAGCCCCUUCCUCCAACUACAGCCAUAUCUCUCCACAGUGAUGGAGCCCCUUCCUCCAACUACAGCCAUAUCUCUCCACAGUGAUGGAGCCCCUUCCUCCAACUACAGCCAUAUCUCUCCACAGUGAUGGAGCCCCUUCCUCCAACUACAGCCAUAUCUCUCCACAGUGAUGGAGCCCCUUCCUCCAACUACAGCCAUAUCUCUCCACAGUGAUGGAGCCCCUUCCUCCAACUACAGCCAUAUCUCUCCACAGUGAUGGCAAAUAAGCACUUCAUGAACAGGGAGUGUUUUAUUUUUUUGCGGCUGAAUGUAUUAUAUCAAAGUUCAAAUGUAUUCUUGUUUAUUGUUGUAUAUAAAUAUUGUCCCUAGAUUGUUUCUUACCAUUGGACGUACCAGAGGUGAUAUGUGGUUGCCUGACUAGCACCAUCCAUGUUGGCCCUGGGAAACAUAUCAUCCUCGUAGGAAUAAAUGCUAUGUGGAGUAUCUACAAGAACCAAACAGUGAUGUAGCAAUGCAAUGUAAAACAACAUUAAUUCAGACUACAUUUUUUUCCUCAAGGUCUCUACAAUGUUACAGUGCCUGUGCUGACCUGCACAACCUGUCUUUGCACCUGGACAGCAAACUUGGCAGAUCUGAUAAAGAAUGGGUUCUGGCCUGCCACUGUCAACUGUGACACCAUAUACCAGGUAGAUGUGUUCAGCUCUUUUGAGGAGCUGAAAGUGUCAGCCCCAGGAAUGUCCCGUCUAGCGUUUAUACGGAUUUUGGAGCAGCGAACUGACUUCUUUGGCAGGGUAACAAUAAAUUAUACUGAGCUUUACCAAUGUAUGACUUCAGGUUAACUAUGUUACAUUUUGUUACAACACUUUGUGUAACAUAACUUUAUUUCCAGUACUACAACUACAUUAAAACUUCAGGUCUCUUGCUACAGGAUGUGUUAGCCUCCUGCACCACUGUCCUGCCAUGCCCCUUAUCUGUGCCCCUUAUCUGUGCCCCUUAUCUGUGCCCCUCUUGCAUCCAAUAUUUCCUGCUCUUUACAACAUAAGUACUCGUCCUACUUUUGCAUUGGCUUUCACCUGCCUUGCUGUCAACACUAUGUACUGGCCCUGCUUUAACUCAAAUCCAGUCAGCCAUAGUGAAUUAUAGUAUGUUUUGUUUAUACUAUUGUUGUAAGUUAUUUCAUAUAUGUUCUAUAUGUAUUUUUCCCUUACCAGAAUGGAAUGAUCUGUGGGGACACUUUCCAAAAAAGCUUCUUUGAGUGGACGUACUGCCGCUCUGAAAUUGAACAGGUCUGUGAUAUACAGUACUUUGACUGCCCAGCCUGUUCACCCAGCAUGCUUGCAGUGUCAGUGGACGGGAACAAGAAGCUGUAUCGAUUCAAAAAAGGCUAUGUAAAACUAUUCAUAAUUUAUUAAAUAACACCGUACUCUAUAUCAUUUAAACAAUCCAAACAAGGUUUGCCUUUUCUUUGUCCAGUGUGAACGUUUUCAAAUGCAGUUGAGUUCAUUUUAGCUUAAAUGUUUUGCGUUUGUAAUGAAAUUAAUUAUCAACAUUGUCAAGUGUCCACAAUCAGUUACUGAGGUUGAUUGCUAUUUCAUAUGUAAUAUAUUUAAUGUAUUUCACGUAUCCUUUCAAGGACUGAUGACAAAGGAUUCUUUGAUGGCGUGUUUAUCUGCAAGGACGAGGAUGUCUGACUUUGUGAACUAUGUCCAUACAAAGACUAAACAUUUACGUUUCCUGUGUAUCUUCUAAUCUGUGAAAUAGGACUGGCCUCGGGCCAUCUGACUCAAAGGCAGACUCGUUAUACACUAUUCCAAUAAAAACAUAUCAUUUUGGAGAUGGUAAUCCUCUCUCUUCAAGUCCAUUUGUCGUUACACUACUCCCUCUGUUCAGAAAUGCAACACACUUUACAAGUGCUUCUUUUUGAUAGUCGAUCUCCAUUGUAGCGAACAUAGGGGGUAGCUCAGCGCCCUCGGCUAGAUUUUAAAAACCUAACCACUGUCCCGUUAACACUCCCCCCCCAAAACAUUUUUUCUACCUAUACUCUUCUACUUCCUUGUCUAGGGUUAUGGAAAAGGGGUAUGUGGAGCAUCCCAGUGGACAGCAGCUAAAGAGUCAAGGAAAACAAACGACAACUUGAUGAAGAGGGACUCGAAGUUGCCGUCUGCCGCCACGGAAUACUUCUAAGGAGCCUCAACAUGAUGCGUGGAGAGAUAUUUGCGUACCCACUGUUCUUGCAGAAGGAAUUGUCUGGCAGCAGGAACAUACAAUUCAUGUGUACAGAUGUGAUCUGCAAAUUUUGGCCAUACCUGACCAAAGUUGCCCUUCAUUGUCCAGAGCUCGCCACUCUUCUAGACAUGAAGCCACUUCUUUCCGUCAUGCAUGCAAAGGCACAUCGUUUGAAAUGCGAGCAAGAACAGACAUGCUAACCAUCCAGGCCAUGGGGUGGAACAGAAGGAAGAAGAACAACCUGCACAGAGUAUUGUCCAGAAGAUACUUGAAGACAACAGCAAAAAUCCAGGAGGAGACCCAGACUCUUGAAAAGUUUAAGAGUGAUUUGGGUGUAGGCGAUGAGACUCUGUACAACUGGACAACGGAAGUUCAGCAAUGGGCUAAUACAGAGGAAACAAAUGAGAACAUGGAUGGUCCCCAGGUACUACAGAGAACAAUUGAAGUCCUGUUUCUGAGCAUCAAAGGAAACAGAACCUCUACCGUCAGACAGAUGGAUGCAAGAAAAGACACCCUCUGCGCAGAAAGAUAUUAGAAGAAUAGGCCAAAUUGACAGCUGCCAUAGAGGAGUACAACACCCUUGUACCAGAUGAGAUCCUUUCCGCAGACCUUCGUACCUGGCCUUGGGAGCUGCAUGGACAAACUGACCUACUCACAAAGAAAAUAGCCUUUGACCGGGUGAUGCUCCUGAGACGGCUGAAGGAGGAAGAGUUAAUUGUCCUAAAGGAAGUCAAGCAGCACUGGGAAAGCCUAAAGAGGGAAUCGGAGAAUGUGCAAGGCCUUGCUUCACAUGUGGCACCUGACCUAAGCAGGCAAAGCUGGCAAUUGAAUCAGUCGGAAGCUGGGAGCAGAGGUCUCUUCUCCAUGCUUCAGAGGAGAGUCAGCAGCCUCGAAAGACACCAGGACUCUGUCAAACUGAUAUACAGCAAGCUAUGGGCCAAGACACCUCCCUCCUAGAAAAUAACUUCAUAGAUGACCUCCUGGAAGAGGACCUAGAUGACAUCUAUGACAGCAUCCACUACAGCUUUGAUGACGAGGAAUCUAUCACAGACUGAAGGUGUUCGUUUGGGUGGGUGCAGUUUGCACUGGUUGAAAAGUGAUUCCAUUUGUUUUGCAUAUGUGCUUUAUCUGCCUUCCUAAGGAAAAAUAGUUUGAACAUUUUAUGAAAAAAAAACUUUUGUUUCUUCCUUGUUGACAAUGUGAUCAUGUGGCACAGAUUUGAGAAGGGCGCUCGUCUAUUACUGCUUUUGCCCGGUUACAUGACCAGGUCCGAUGCACCCCUUUAAAUGGCCAAUCUGCAGUUGCUACAUCCACUUUUGGAUUCUUGAAGAAUAUAAUUUAUAAAUGCCUCAUGAACAUAGUUCAACUGCCGUACCCCAUCAGAUCCCAAAAUAUAUAUUUUUAUCUACUCCAAUGUUUGUAAACAAAGUAAAUGUAAACUUACACUAGCAUGUGUCAAACUCAUUCCACGGGUGAGCCGAGUGUCUGCGGGUUUUUGCUCCUCAAAUGAUUGAUGAAUUAAGGUCACUAAUUAGUAAGGAACUCCCCUCACCUGGUUGCCUAGGAAAAACCUCAAACCAGCAGACACUAGGCUCUCCAUGGAAUGAGAUUGACACCACUGGACUAUAGCCUGGAAACAUGGUUUAAACUAUGGUUCCAUUUCUCCAGCCCCAUCCCUCUGCUUUUAACAGAACCACUGGACUAUAGCCUGGAAACAUGGUUUAAACUAUGGUUCCAUUUCUCCAGCCCCAUCCCUCUGCUUUUUACAGAACCACUGGACUAUAGCCUGGAAACAUGGUUUAAACUAUGGUUCCAUUUCUCCAGCCCCAUCCCUCUGCUUUUUACAGAACCACUGGACUAUAGCCUGGAAACAUGGUUUAAACUAUGGUUCCAUUUCUCCAGCCCCAUCCCUCUGCUUUUUACAGAACCAUUGGCAGGGAGAACGAUGUAUUGUUUCACCUGGUGAUUUCCGAUUUAAACAUUGUUAAACUGUAAUGUACUGUGCUUAUGUGUGCUUAUUAGUUUAGUUAAUAAAAAACUAAAAAAGGUCA